rnacentral:rRNA from 1 species
GUCCACGCCGUAAACGAUGAGUGCUAGACGUUGGGAGGCCUAGCCUUCCGGUGUCGCAGCUAACGCAUUAAGCACUCCGCCUGGGGAGUACGGCCGCAAGGUUAAAACUCAAAGGAAUUGACGGGGGCCCCGCACAAGCGGUGGAGCAUGUGGUUUAAUUCGAAGCAACGCGCAGAACCUUACCAGCCCUUGACAUGGGGAGUGUGACCCGGGGAGACCCGGGUCUUCAGUUCGGCUGGCUCCCACACAGGUGCUGCAUGGCUGUCGU